AGUGAACGCUGGCGGUAGGCCUAACACAUGCAAGUCGAACGGCAGCACAGUAAGAGCUUGCUCUUACGGGUGGCGAGUGGCGGACGGGUGAGGAAUACAUCGGAAUCUACUUUUUCGUGGGGGAUAACGUAGGGAAACUUACGCUAAUACCGCAUACGACCUACGGGUGAAAGCAGGGGAUCUUCGGACCUUGCGCGAUUGAAUGAGCCGAUGUCGGAUUAGCUAGUUGGCGGGGUAAAGGCCCACCAAGGCGACGAUCCGUAGCUGGUCUGAGAGGAUGAGCGGGCAGACGGGAACUGAGACAGGGGCCAGACUGCGAAGGGAGGCAGACGUAGGGAAUGUGCGGCAAUGGGCGACGGCCUGACGCAGCAAUGCGGCGUGAGUGAUGAAGGGCUUCGGAUCGUAAAACUCUGUUAUUAGGGAAGAAAAACUGUGUAAGUAACUAUGCACGUCUUGACGGUACCUAAUCAGAAAGCCACGGCUAACUACGUG
rnacentral:rRNA from 1 species